AGAGAGAGACAUGCGCGCAUAUCAAUAAGCGGAGGAAAAGAAACUAACAAGGAUUCCCUUAGUAACGGCGAGUGAAGCGGGAAGAGCUCAAAUUUGAAAUCUUCAAGGUUCUACCUUGACGAAUUGUAGUUUAUAGAAGUGUUUUCUGUUAGUGGAGUGGCAAAAGUUCUUUGGAAUAGGACAUCAUAGAGGGUGAGAAUCCCGUAUUUGGUCAUUCCUCCUAGCGUUGUGAUACACUUUCAACGAGUCGGAUUGUUUGGGAAUGCAGUCCAAAAUGGGUGGUAAAUUUCAUCUAAAGCUAAAUAUUGGCGAGAGACCGAUAGCGAACAAGUACCGUGAGGGAAAGAUGAAAAGAACUUUGAAAAGAGAGUUAAACAGUACGUGAAAUUGUCAAAAGGGAAGCGUUUGACACCAGUGUUGUUUUUCCGAAAAUCAAUUACGAAUGUUUUAUUUUUGAGGAGUUAUGACUUCAUCGGCUUGCUCCUUUCUUUAUGAAACUUUCUUAAUGCACUUUUCGGUUAACAAGUCAACAUCAAUUUCUUUUGUUGUAAAAGGGUAUGAGGAAGGUGGCUUUCUUUUCGGAGAAAGUGUUUAUAGCCUCGUGCCUCUGCAAUCGGAGAGAUUGAGGUCUGCAGCGUAGAUCCUUCGGGGUUAGAUACGUUUGUGCUAAGUUAUAGCUUUUCAUAGACAACUUGUUGACUAUAUUUAGUCUUGUAGCUUACUCGCUUAUGCUAUUUUACCUACGCUUAGGAUGUUGAUAGUCACAGCGUGUAC
rnacentral:rRNA from 1 species